rnacentral:rRNA from 1 species
UGGGGAAUAUUGCACAAUGGGGGAAACCCUGAUGCAGCAACGCCGCGUGAGUGAUGAAGGUUUUCGGGUCGUAAAGCUCUGUCUUUGGGGAAGAUAAUGACGGGACCCAAGGGGGAAGCCCCGGGUAACUACCUGCCAGCAGCCCCGGGAAUACCUAGGUGGCGAGCGUUAUCCGGAUUUACUGGGCGUAAAGGGGGCGUAGGCGGGUGAUUAAGUGGGGUGUGCAAUACCCGGGCUCAACUUGGGUGCUGCCUUCCAAACUGGUUAUCUAGGGUGCAGGAGAGGAGAGUGGAAUUCCUAGUGUAGCGGUGAAAUGCGUAGAGAUUAGGAAGAACACCAGUGGCGAAGGCGACUCUCUGGACUGUAACCGACGCUGAGGCUCGAAAGCGUGGGGAGCAAACAG